ACACUCCUACGGGAGGCAGCAGUGGGGAAUUUUGGACAAUGGGCGAAAGCCUGAUCCAGCAAUGCCGCGUGAGUGAAGAAGGCCUUCGGGUUGUAAAGCUCUUUUGUCAGGGAAGAAACGGUGAAAGCUAAUAUCUUUUGCUAAUGACGGUACCUGAAGAAUAAGCACCGGCUAACUACGUGCCAGCAGCCGCGGUAAUACGUAGGGUGCAAGCGUUAAUCGGAAUUACUGGGCGUAAAGCGUGCGCAGGCGGUUUUGUAAGUCUGAUGUGAAAUCCCCGGGCUCAACCUGGGAAUUGCAUUGGAGACUGCAAGGCUAGAAUCUGGCAGAGGGGGGUAGAAUUCCACGUGUAGCAGUGAAAUGCGUAGAUAUGUGGAGGAACACCGAUGGCGAAGGCAGCUCCCUGGGUCAAGAUUGACGCUCAUGCACGAAAGCGUGGGGAGCAAACAGGAUUAGAAACCCCUGUAGUCCCAUGA
rnacentral:rRNA from 1 species